CGAGUCCGAGUCUCCACGGAGACGAAGUGGCGGUCAUCCAGCUUCCUAGAAAAGCUCUAACCACGUUAAUCUUUAGUUGCCUGUACCCGAAACCGACACAGGUAGGGGGGUAGAGAAUACCAAGGGGCGCGAGAUAACUCUCUCUAAGGAACUCGGCAAAAUGACCCCGUAACUUCGGGAGAAGGGGUACCACUGAGAAGUGGUCGCAGUGAAGAGGCCCAGGCGACUGUUUACCAAAAACACAGGUCUCCGCCAAGUCGCAAGACGAAGUAUGGGGGCUGACGCCUGCCCAGUGCCGGAAGGUUAAGGAAGUGGGUUAGGGAUUCGUCCCAGCUAGCCACCGAAGCCCCGGUGAACGGCGGCCGUAACUAUAACGGUCCUAAGGUAGCGAAAUUCCUUGUCGGGUAAGUUCCGACCCGCACGAAAGGCGUAACGAUCUGGGCGCUGUCUCGGAGAGAGGCUCGGCGAAAUAGGAAUGUCUGUGAAGAUACGGACUACCUGCACCUGGACAGAAAGACCCUAUGAAGCUUUACUGUAGCUUGGAAUUGGGUUCGGGCUUGGUUUGCGCAGGAUAGGUGGGAGGCGAAGAAGAUUUGCUUGUGGGUGAAUCUGAGCCAACGGUGAGAUACCACUCUAACCAGGCUAGAAUUCUAACUUCAACCCGUCAACCGGGGGAAGGACAGUUUCAGGUGGGCAGUUUGACUGGGGCGGUCGCCUCCUAAAAGAUAACGGAGGCGCACAAAGGUUCCCUCAGGCUGGUUGGAAAUCAGCCAACGAGUGCAAAGGCAAAGGGAGCUUGACUGCGAGACCUACAAGUCAAGCAGGGUGGAAACACGGUCUUAGUGAUCCGACGGCACCGAGUGGAAGGGCCGUCGCUCAACGGAUAAAAGUUACUCUAAGGAUAACAGGCUGAUCUUCCCCAAGAGUUCACAUCGACGGGGAGGUUUGGCACCUCGAUGUCGGCUCAUCGCAACCUGGGGCGGAAGUACGUCCCAAGGGUUGGGCUGUUCGCCCAUUAAAGCGGUACGUGAGCUGGGUUCAGAACGUCGUGAGACAGUUCGGUCCAUAUCCGGUGUAGGCGCAAGAACAUUGAGAGGAGUCUUCCUUAGUACGAGAGGACCGGGAAGAACGCACCGCUGGUGUACCUGUUAUCGUGCCAACGGUAAACGCAGGGUAGCCAAGUGCGGAGUGGAUAACCGCUGAAAGCAUCUAAGUGGGAAGCCCACCUCAAGAUGAGUGUUCUCAUGGAGUAAUCCAGUAAGGUCACGGGAAGACGACCCGUUGAUAGGCGGUAGGUGGAAGUUCAGCAAUGGAUGAAGCCGAGCCGUACUAACAGACCGAGGGCUUGAC
rnacentral:rRNA from 1 species